CGGAUGAGUUGCGAACGGGUGAGUAACGCGUAGGUAACCUGCCUCUUAGCGGGGGAUAACUAUUGGAAACGAUAGCUAAUACCGCAUAAAAGUCGAUAUCGCAUGAUAUUGAUUUGAAAGGUGCAAAUGCAUCACUAAGAGAUGGACCUGCGUUGUAUUAGCUAGUUGGUGAGGUAACGGCUCACCAAGGCGACGAUACAUAGCCGACCUGAGAGGGUGAUCGGCCACACUGGGACUGAGACACGGCCCAGACUCCUACGGGAGGCAGCAGUAGGGAAUCUUCGGCAAUGGGGGCAACCCUGACCGAGCAACGCCGCGUGAGUGAAGAAGGUUUUCGGAUCGUAAAGCUCUGUUGUAAGAGAAGAACGAGUGUGAGAGUGGAAAGUUCACACUGUGACGGUAACUUACCAGAAAGGGACGGCUAACUACGUGCCAGCAGCCGCGGUAAUACGUAGGUCCCGAGCGUUAUCCGGAUUUACUGGGCGUAAAGCGAGCGCAGGCGGUUAGAUAAGUCUGAAGUUAAAGGCUGUGGCUUAACCAUAGUACGCUUUGGAAACUGUUUAACUUGAGUGCAGAAGGGGAGAGUGGAAUUCCAUGUGUAGCGGUGAAAUGCGUAGAUAUAUGGAGGAACACCGGUGGCGAAAGCGGCUCUCUGGUCUGUAACUGACGCUGAGGCUCGAAAGCGU
rnacentral:rRNA from 1 species